CACGUAGCCCACGGUGAUGAAGCGGGACUCCCCGCCAGGCCGGGACACGGCAGUGAUGAAAUACCUCAUGGAGUGGGAGCCUGGGGGACGGAGCCGCUGUGACCCUGCUAUCCCUUCCAGGCAUCCAACCAAGGUCCCAGGAGCAAGACAUGCAGUGGGCGUGAGAACCUGGCCGCGUCAAGAGUGUCCAGGCAGAAGGACCUGACACGGGUUGGGAGAAGAAGAAGUGAAACUCCAGAGAGUGCUAGGUGUCCACACCAUGUCCCAUCUAGACCCUGAGAGCCACACCCAGGGCUGGGACUUUGUCCUGAACACUCCUCUGUACUAAACAUUCUUUGUCACACCAUCCCCUGAUUCCUGCCUCAGGGUGUAAAGUCAGUAGCUCUCAAAUGUUUUGGAUUCAGGAUGUACUUGGUCUUAGAAAGUAGUGGGCAGUCUAGAGGUGAUCCAGUUUAUGUGAAUUAUAUCUGUCAAUAUUCACCAUAUUAGAAAUUAAUUCCAUGUUAAAGAUAUGUUAUUCCUUCUGAGUAUUUAUAACGAAUUGCAUGUUAACAAACAGCAGUUUCAAAAAGAAAUAACUUUUUUCCAAAAUCAAAACAUUUAGUCUGAUGACUGGAUCAUUUUUUCUUUUUACAAGUUGAAAGUCCUUUUUAUUUGUCAUAGAGAAUGCUAGAUGUUAUAUGUUCUGCAUUUACCCUGUGACUUUGGUUGAAACAACAACAAGAAAUGCAGUCUCAGAGAAGUAUCAGGAAGAAUGUUUUUAAUAACAUUUUCAGUAACUGUGGCUAUUGUCUUUGAUACAGACACUAACUUGAUACAAGUGUUAGCUUAAAGUUUCUUUACCAUAUGAACCCUGAAAUAUUACCAUGGAAUAGUUCAUAUUCUGUUGUAUUAAAGUCUGUGAGUGUGUCUUGCAUAUUGAAUGGAUCUUGUGCUAAUGAAUGAUAUUUUUUUGAAGUCAUGCACUGUUUGCCCACGUUAUAUAUGUAGACCUUCUAGUGUUGACAUAUUUAAAUGCAAAUAAUCAAAAUGUUAUAUGUUGAUAUUUCUACAGAUUUCACCAGAAAAUGUUGUAGGUACUUGGGAGUCUGUCAGGUUGAUAGUGGUGAAUGCGGGUUGUACUAGAUUCUGAAAUUCUCUUGAGAGCAUACAUUUUAUCAUUGAAAAUAUUGUUGUCUGUGAUUAUCUUGAAGGGACAGACUCAGUUCAUAUUUUAGCAUGUUGGCCAAAUAUUGAAGUCUAAGGAAUGGUUUCUCUGUCAUUCAUUUUUGAAGCAGGAAUGAUAUUUAAAAAAAAAAAAUGGGACUGUUACAACUCACCACAGUCUUUUGUUGACACAAACACCCUACUUUCAAAUAUAGCAGAUGUGCUUUAA